UUUUUUUUUUAUUUUGGACUUGGGGAUGAGGGAUGUUCGAGAGUCUGUCCUCAGGUCCAGGAUGACUGGGCACCUCAGAUGACAUUUCUUCAGCCUGAUCAACUCGGUCUGCAUCUUCCCUGCAGAAGGGCCCACACAGCCCCCGGGGAAAGGAGUCCACAGUGAGCUUGCAGCAUCUGCAGCAGGAAGCCAAGGAUGCAGAGCACGUCAAAAUAAAUGGGCCUCAAACCUCUCCCAGGGACAUUCCUGUCCUCCCACCCAGCCUCAUGGAAGGCGUGCAGUGGCCGGGGAGUCAAAAGAUCUGCUCUAUCAAGGGCAGUGGCCACUGACCACAGGAGAGGCAUUUACCACCCUGAACCUCAUUCUUCUCUGUAAAAAGGAGAUCAAAAUAAAAUCCCUUCAGAGGUUUCCCUGAAAGGAAAGGAAAGAGGGGUCACACAGG